rnacentral:rRNA from 1 species
UACGUAGGCAGCGAGCGUUGUUCGGAAUUACUGGGCGUAAAGAGUGUGUAGGCGGUGCUCCCAGUCUGUUGUGAAAUCUCCCGGCUUAACUGGGAGGGUGCAGCGGAAACUAGAGUGCUAGAGGGUGGGAGAGGUAAGCGGAAUUCCUGGUGUAGCGGUGAAAUGCGUAGAUAUCGUUAGGAACUCCGGUGGCGAAGGCGGCACGCUGGACCCUCACUGACGCUGAGGCGCGAAAGCCAGGGGAGCGAACGGG